GUAGCUUGCUACUUUGCCGGCGAGCGGCGGACGGGUGAGUAAUGUCUGGGAAACUGCCUGAUGGAGGGGGAUAACUACUGGAAACGGUAGCUAAUACCGCAUAACGUCGCAAGACCAAAGAGGGGGACCUUCGGGCCUCUUGCCAUCAGAUGUGCCCAGAUGGGAUUAGCUAGUAGGUGGGGUAACGGCUCACCUAGGCGACGAUCCCUAGCUGGUCUGAGAGGAUGACCAGCCACACUGGAACUGAGACACGGUCCAGACUCCUACGGGAGGCAGCAGUGGGGAAUAUUGCACAAUGGGCGCAAGCCUGAUGCAGCCAUGCCGCGUGUAUGAAGAAGGCCUUCGGGUUGUAAAGUACUUUCAGCGGGGAGGAAGGUGUUGAGGUUAAUAACCUCAGCAAUUGACGUUACCCGCAGAAGAAGCACCGGCUAACUCCGUGCCAGCAGCCGCGGUAAUACGGAGGGUGCAAGCGUUAAUCGGAAUUACUGGGCGUAAAGCGCACGCAGGCGGUCUGUCAAGUCGGAUGU
rnacentral:rRNA from 1 species